GAAUCCCGUCUUUGACACGGACUACCAGUGCUUUGUGAUACGCUCUCAAAGAGUCGAGUUGUUUGGGAAUGCAGCUCAAAAUGGGUGGUAAAUUCCAUCUAAAGCUAAAUAUUGGCGAGAGACCGAUAGCGAACAAGUACCGUGAGGGAAAGAUGAAAAGCACUUUGGAGAGAGAGUUAAACAGUACGUGAAAUUGCUGAAAGGGAAGCGCUUGAAGUCAGUCGCGUUGUUCAGAACUCAACCUGGUUUUACUUGGUGCACUUUCUGAAUGACGGGCCAACAUCAGUUUUGACUGUCGGAUAAAAGCCUUGGGAAUGUGGUACCUCCGGGUGUGUUAUAGCCUUUGGUUGUAUACGAUGGUUGGGAUUGAGGAUCGCAGCACGCCUUUUGGCCGGGGUUCGCCCACGUACGUGCUUAGGAUGUUGGCGUAAUGGCUUUAAACGACCCGUCUUGAGACACGGACCAAGGAGUCUAACAUGCCUGCGAGUGUUUGGGUGGAAAACCCGAGCGCGCAAUGAAAGUGAAAGUUGGGAUCCCUGUCGUGGGGAGCACCGACGCCCAUACCAGACCUUCUGUGACGGAUAUGCGGUUGAGCAUGUAUGUUGGGACCCGAAAGAUGGUGAACUAUGCCUGAAUAGGGUGAAGCCAGAGGAAACUCUGGUGGAAGCUCGUAGCGAUUCUGACGUGCAAAUCGAUCGUCAAAUUUGGGUAUAGGGGCGAAAGACUAAUCGAACCAUCUAGUAGCUGGUUCCUGCC
rnacentral:rRNA from 1 species